rnacentral:rRNA from 1 species
CCAUUACGCCAGCAUCCUAGCCGAAGCGCGGACCUCAGUCCCGGCUGGCCGUAUUACACCCUGGGCUAUAACACCUCCACCGAAGUGGAGGCCACAUUCCCAGAGCCUUUAUCCGGCCGCCGAAACUGAUGCUGGCCUGUCCAAACUGAGUAAACCGGUCAGAAGACCGGCCGAACAGUUUAAACAAGUCUGAUUGCAAGCGCUUCCCUUUCAACAAUUUCACGUGCUUUUUAACUCUCUUUCCAAAGUGCUUUUCAUCUUUCGAUCACUCUACUUGUGCGCUAUCGGUCUCUCGCCAAUAUUUAGCUUUAGAAGAAAUUUACCUCCCAUUUAGAGCUGCAUUCCCAAACAACUCGACUCGUCGAAGGAGAUUUACAUAGGGUGCCAUUUCCUGUCACAUACGGGAUUCUCACCCUCUAUGACGUCCUGUUCCAAGGAACUUAGACAGGCGGCUUCCCCAAAUCAUCCUCUACAAAUUACAAUGCGAACCCGAAGGCUAGCUUUCAAAUUUGAGCUGUUGCCGCUUCACUCGCCGUUACUAGG